AAACAUGAUAAUCGUUGACCGGGAGAAAAUGCCAUAUUAAUAAUACAAAAUGCAUUAAGUCCGCCUUGUGUACCUUAUUUUAUGUGAAUCAAAGCGUUAAUAAAUAAAUAAUCGUGGCAGCACGCUUGUUGAAGGAAAGGUUUAAAAGUAAAAAUAAUUUAAUUACAUUGUUUAAAGAAAAUUAUCUAAUUAUGCAAACAAGAUUUUGUUCUAAUUUAAUUAUAACUUACUAAUUAAACAAAUGUUGUAAUAACUUAGUUUGAAAAAAGACAACCAUUCGAAAUUAUAGAAAAUUUUACAAUUUCUUUGAGUCGAACGCACAAGUCUCCGGAAAUGUAUAAGCUGUUAGAUAUUAUUUUAAUGUUUCUGUUCAUCGUCGCUGACUGUAAUGCAGGCUCGGUAUACACGUCUGUUCACAACGUACGUCAAGAAUCGAAUCAAAGCCAGGAUCCACGAUGCGUCAAACGGAAAGAACAUGCUCCCUAUGGAUGGGUCUGCAAGGUGGCCAUGGAAAGUUGGUAUUACGACAUCAAGAAAAAUGACUGCUUUUUUACCUCAGUCGGUGAAUGCGGGGAGACUAGUGACAAUUUUUACACAGAACAUGAGUGCGCAAUUGCCUGUAUGUACGAAGAAAACAAAAACAUUUAAUUGAACUCUUAACGAGAACGACUCAGAUAAGAAGUAGCAUCACUUCCAACAUCUCCAGAGA